UUUGGUGAGUUUAAGAAUUAUCUGCUCUGUCUGCCCCGAUUAAGAUAAAUUGUGAAGUUCACAUCUAGCAAUUCUGGAAGUGGGCUGGGUCCCAUCAGAGUGAUCUGCAUCUUCCUGUGGGUGUGUGGAUGUCCUUAGGUCCUAGGGUGAUCCCCAAGUCCCUGUCACUGCUGCCUGAUGGGGCAAAGAAGCAAAAAAAAAAAAAAAAAACAAACAUUUCUUACUCUUGUGUGUUUUAACAAAAGUUUAUAAAACAAAAUAAAUGGCACAUAUGUUUUCUUAAAAAAAAAGAGUUAUCUGCUCUG
rnacentral:lncRNA from 1 species